rnacentral:rRNA from 1 species
GAUGAACGCUGGCGGCGUGCCUAAUACAUGCAAGUCGAGCGAACAGACGAGAGUGCUUGCACUCUCUGACGUUAGCGGCGGACGGGUGAGUAACACGUGGGUAACCUACCUAUAAGACUGGGAUAACUUCGGGAAACCGGAGCUAAUACCGGAUAAUAUUUAGCUUCGCAUGAAGCAAUAGUGAAAGACGGUUCUGCUGUCACUUAUAGAUGGACCCGCGGUGUAUUAGCUAGUUGGUGAGGUAACAGCUCACCAAGGCAACGAUACAUAGCCGACCUGAGAGGGUGAUCGGCCACACUGGGACUGAGACACGGCCCAGACUCCUACGGGAGGCAGCAGUAGGGAAUCUUCCGCAAUGGACGAAAGUCUGACGGAGCAAUGCCGCGUGAGUGAAGAAGGUUUUCGGAUCGUAAAACUCUGUUGUAAGGGAAGAACAAGUACGUUAGUAACUGAACGUACCUUGACGGUACCUUACCAGAAAGCCACGGCUAACUACGUG